rnacentral:rRNA from 1 species
UACGUAGGGACCAAGCGUUGUUCGGAUUUACUGGGCGUAAAGGGCGCGUAGGCGGCAUGACAAGUCACUUGUGAAAUCUCUGGGCUUAACUCGGAAAGGUCAACUGAUACUGUGCGACUAGAGUGCGGAAGGGGCAACUGGAAUUCUCGGUGUAGCGGUGAAAUGCGUAGAUAUCGAGAGGAACACCUGCGGCGAAGGCGGGUUGCUGGGCCGACACUGACGCUGAUGCGCGAAAGCCAGGGGAGCGAACGGG